UAGCCCCGGUGGUGAUUUCUACUAUCUGCCUCAAUCUCUGCCUCCUCUCUCUCUACACAGCUCUAAGGUAGAAGCUAUCCUCCCUGUUGUUUUCUUUUUCUUUUUUUUGGGGAAGAAUCUAGGGUUUUUAUUUGGAUUUUGGAUUUUGAUAUGAUAAUCAAUCUUUGCCUCCUCUCUCUCACUUUUCCCCCCCUUCUUUUUUAUUUGGGUUUGUUUUUCUAUUUUUAUUUUUAUUUUUAUUUGUUUGUUUGUUAUCAGCAUAGAAAUAUUUCAGUCCUGCUUGGUUGUCGAGAAAGUGGCAACAACAGUAAAGAAAAUGAAAUUUCUGGGACAAGUGCUGCUGUUGUUAUUUUGGAGUGAGUCUAUCUUAAUUGCUAUAAAAUUGUUGGUUAUCUUCUUGAUCAUUAGUUUUGGUUAGGUAACUAAUUGCAAAUUUUGCUAGAAAGUUGUGGCGGUUGUUUUUAACGGUCAAAAUUUGGAUGUUCUGUAAAAUGCCUCAAUGAAAAUAGUUUAUUUUCUUUUGGUUAAACCUACUGCUUAUAUAAUUAUACUUUUUUGUUGUUCAAAUAGUGAGUGAAUCUAUCAUGACAUGCCAAGUAAAUGAUUAAACAACCUUUCCUAUAGAGAGUUUGAUUAACAGUGCUUGAAUGCACUUAGUGUUGGUAAUGUGGAUGUCCUAGUUGAUCAAAGUUAUCUUAGUGAGUGAAUCUAUCAUUUUCUACAUUUCCCCCCCAAAUAGUGAAUGAUACAUGCCUUGGAUAUUUGGUAAGGUUAACAAAAAUAGAGGUAUAUUCAAAUUGGUGAAUUAAACAGUGGGAGUUGGAUCUUAUUUUUAAUAACAAACAGUGGCAAUUUUUAGGGAGUCGAUUUUGGAUAAUGGAUAAUAGAGCUUACUUACCUAUAUUUUCUAUUCUUCCUUUUGCUUCAGGCACAUAUGCCUUGGCGAAGGAGCGUUUGAUUAGCUCAUGAAAAGUUGUUAUGGCUUUGUUUGCUACAAUGGUUGAUUAGGGGAGAAGUUUUCAAAGAUUGUGGGGAGUCCAUACUAUAUGGCCCAGAAGGUUUUGAAGCGAAAUUAUGUAAUGUGGGGUUCCUACAUUUUGAGCAGGUGUCGUCUUUCAAUCGCAAUCUGAAUUCUACAAAGUUUCAAUCGAGCAUUUUUGGUACUGUUGUUCUUGGGAGGAAUUUAAGGAUGAGGAGAUGGUUGAUGUGAAGUCAUUACACAUCCGAAACUUUCUAUGAAGUUGAGUUUGUUGGCGGAAAGCUUGAAAUCAAGACACAUUUCGAUACAACGCAGAACACUCCAAAGAAUGGACAGCGCGUGGUCUUCAGAUUCUAUACAUUGACGACAGCACAUUUCAUCCAAACCGGCGACGACCUCACUGGUGGAAAAAAUCACCAUUGAAACCAGUCACCAUCUCCGGCAAACAGACCAAUGCAAAGCACAUCACCGCAGCGUCAAACGACAGCAACUUUAUGCUCACAGAAGCAAACGGCGCCGGGUAAAACCCACCAGCGAAAGAGACAAAAACCAGGGGAGGAUCACACAACUGCCAUUAACGGCAAGUCAUCAAACCUUCACCCUAGCAUCUUCAUUUCACGGCCAGAGCACCUUGAUACACGGCAGAUGCACGCCAUUUCCAGUAAACCUGCCAUAAAAAGAAUAACGACGGCAGCACCAGAUAACAUCGUAGCCCACAAGCACAGCCAACGUCAUAACACCGCCGACAGCACAAACACAUAGAAACCCCGCUCUGUGAUGACCACCAAGUAACUCCGGUGAGGCAGCACAGAGAG